GAUGAAGAACGUAGCGAAAUGCGAUAAGUAAUGCGAAUUGCAGAUUUCAGUGAGUCAUCGAAUCUUUGAACGCACAUUGCGCCUGCCAGUAGUCUGGCGGGCAUGCCUGUUCGAGCGUCAUUUCAACCAUCAAGCCCCCGGGCUUGCGUUGGGGCCCUGCGGCUGCCGCAGGCCCCGAAAAGCAGUGGCGGGCUCGCUGUCACACCGAGCGCAGUAGCGAUUCUCGCUCCGGGCGUCGGCGGCGGGCACCGGCCGUGAAACCCCCCCACAUCCACAAGGUUGACCUCGGAUCAGGUAGGAAUACCCGCUGAACUUAAGCAUAUCAAUAAGCGGAGGA
rnacentral:misc_RNA from 1 species